ensembl:lncRNA
GUGCGCUUCCCCCCCAGCCCCCUGCCUUGCUUCCCCGGGGAAAUGUGUGAUUUGUUUUGGUUUCCAAACCACUUCAUCCCGUUUCUCUUCCCUUAUCGCUGGUUUUCCGCAUCAAGACCCUCAUCUGCGAGGCACGGGGUGCCUGACUUCACGUUGCCUUCCUAAAUGUGCCCGGGAGCGCAGCCGGCACCCCGGCGGGAUGGGAAACUGGGGGAGCUCCGGCGCUUCCCACACAUCCCUCCCGUCGGACGCGGAAUCCUUCGGUUGCUGCUCCGCCACCGACUCGGACCCACUAGGAAGAAUUAUUCCACAGUAUCAGUCUGCCCGGUUUUUCACAGAGCUAACAAGGGAGCAUGCACAUGUGGCUAACUGCUACCAACUUUGGGCUGCCUUCUACUAGCACCCCAAAACCCCUCAAUUCCCCUUACCUCAGCCUCGAGGGAAUCAGGGCCAGGGGUCUCUGCAGUGGGCAGAUGGUAUGUGAGGGAGGGAUGGAGAGGUGCAGUUCACAGUCAGAGCUGUGGCACAGCUGGAAUAAACUGCAUUUGUCAGGAUUGUAGGAAAAAACUGGGGUGGAAGGGACUUCAGGAGAUACUUUGUAAUUUUUAAAAGUAUCUCUGUUAUUUAGAUACUUGUCGUUUCAAGUAAUCUAAACCCCCUAGACAUUAAGUUGUACUGAGAAUCAAUGGCAUGCAAGCUGUGAGAUGCUUGAAUUCACAGCAGUGAAAGGGAUGUUGGUUCUUCACACUCCUCCUCCUCCCCUUCCUCCCAUGGUAUGUCAAUCUAGCAGCCAUUAGCACUAUGUAGGGUGAGGAGAAGGAGCUUCUAUUGACCUCGUGUAAGUCCAUGAUCCAAGACAAGCUCUGCCUGAUGACUAAUUUCCUCUUUCUGCUGUGGCCAGGCUGCCCCAGAGCAGACAUUGCAAGGAUUUUCUUCAAGUGGAGAAAGCAGAGGUUGUGGAGAAAGUACUGGAGAAGAUGUGCCGAGUCCUGGUUCAGCACCGUAUCUGUGACAGCGGUGCUGCCUCCUCCGUUACCUCCCGUGUCCCAAGUGUCACUGUGGUUUGAUUUUCCUUUCCAGGAGGACUUUAGAUAAUUGCUCCCCGAGGGGCCGGGCAGAGAGCGAGGAGCAGAGACUGAUAAUCCGGGAGGACAUGGAUACAAAUAUCAGGCUGCUGCGCUGAGUGCCUGCUUAAUUUAUUGGGAACGAGCUGUUACUCAGCACUUUGCAGGAUUAGACCCGCUGUAAUUCUGUUAUUUAAGGAGAGGCAGAGCCGAACCACAACAACAACCCACCCGGGGCCGCUGUGGAGACGGGCGGCGCUGGAGAGGAGCACAUGCUGGUUUAUUUUUUACGCUAUGGAAAGAAUGAGCUUUUAGGACACAAAGUCCUGGCGAGGGGGAGGUGGGAGGGGAGUGAGGGGACAGCCUGGCUCCGUGCUGGCCGCCCCAGCCCAGGGCUGCUGCUGGCAGCCGCUGGUGCCGGACAGGUGGGGACAGCGCCCAGGUGACAACCGGGACCACCAGCAGUGCCCGCUGGCUCCUGCUUGGAACGCAGAGUGUUAUGUUGAUUGUAUCUCAUCGUGUAGUGAACCAGCACCCCUCUGGUGGGCUGUUCUUAUCUAGGACUUCACCAAAAAAAUGAGAAUUCAGCCCCCUUCCGUCUUGAAGUUUUCCUUGGGCUCUCUCUGCAUCCUCGAAAUCGGCGUAAAUUACCCAGCAGGAUGCCAAGAGGCUUGAACAGAGUAAAGAAAGGUGCCUUCUCUUUGUCUUCUCUGUCUUGGCCUGGUGGACCUCUUCUUUCAUACUGUAUUUGGUACAAUUAUCUGAAUUUUCACUAGCCAGUGAAAAACCCCCACCUUCUGGGAAACCAAAGGCCUGGAAAGAAAUGUUUAGACUUUCUGGCCCAAUUGGAAGUUGGAGUGACAUUAAAAUACAGUGGCCUUUUCUGCAGAAGGUUUCUCUCUGAGGAAAAUAAAUGUAUUUAUCUGAUUGUCUAUUAAAGCA